AAGAUGAAGGCCGUGCGCCGCUUCUUCGAGGAAGGCGACAAGGUCAAGCUGACCCUGCGUUUCCGUGGCCGUGAAAUGGCCCAUAUGGAACUUGGCAUGCAGCUUCUGAACCGCGUGCGCGAGGAAGUGGAAGAGAUUGCCAAGGUCGAAGCCGAGCCCAAGCUCGAAGGCCGUCAGAUGAUGAUGGUUCUGGCGCCGCGCAUCUGACGCGGCUGCCGCCUUAAUAUGCGCGCCGGCCGGCGCGCUAACGCCCAGCAUCUCAUUGCGAGGUCGCAUGCGAA
rnacentral:misc_RNA from 1 species